UGGGUAGUCCGCACGAGCGCACCUUACUUUUAGUUGCCACCAUUUAGUUGAGCACUCUAAAAGAACUGCCAGUGAUAAGCUGGAGGAAGGCGGGGAUGACGUCAAGUCCUCAUGGCCCUUACGUGUUGGGCUACACACGUGCUACAAUGGCACUUACAAUGAGAUGCAAAGAGGCGACUCCUAGCCAAUCUCAAAAAAGUGCCUCAGUUCGGAUUGUACUCUGCAACUCGAGUACAUGAAGCUGGAAUUGCUAGUAAUCGCGGAUCAGCGCGCCGCGGUGAAUACGUUCCCGGGUCUUGUACACACCGCCCGUCACACCAUGGAAGUUGGUUACACCUAAAGGCAAAACGUAAAACUUUUGACUACGGUACGAUCAGCGACUGGGGUGAAGUCGUAACAAGGUAGCCGUAGGGGAACCUGCGGCUGGAUCACCUCCUUUCU
rnacentral:rRNA from 1 species